CGCAGCCGCGGUAAUUCCAGCUCCAAUAGCGUAUAUUAAAGUUGUUGCAGUUAAAAAGCUCGUAGUUGAAUUUCGGGAUUGACGUGAUGGUCGUGCCUUAAGGGGUAUGAACUGUCGCAGUUGAUUUCUCACCUUCUGGAGAAGCAUGAUGUCCUUAAUUGGGUGUCAUGUGGAACCAGGACCUUUACCUUGAAAAAAUUAGAGUGUUUAAAGCAGGCAUUUUGCUCGAAUACAUUAGCAUGGAAUAAUAGAAUAGGACGGCAUGGUUCUAUUUUGUUGGUUUCUAGGAUCACCGUAAUGAUUAAUAGGGAUAGUUGGGGGCAUUAGUAUUCAAUUGUCAGAGGUGAAAUUCUUGGAUUUAUUGAAGACUAACUACUGCGAAAGCAUUUGCCAAGGAUGUUUUCAUUAAUCAAGAACGAAAGUUAGGGGAUCGAAGACGAUCAGAUACCGUCGUAGUCUUAACCAUAAACUAUGCCGACUAGGAAUCAGACGAUGUUAAUUUUUAAUGACUCGUUUGGCU
rnacentral:rRNA from 1 species